rnacentral:rRNA from 1 species
AGCAGCCACGGUAAUUCCAGCUCCAAUAGCGUAUAUUAAAGUUGUUGCAGUUAAAAAGCUCGUAGUUGAAUUCCGGAAUCAAUUAAUUGGUCGUGCCUAUGGUACGUACUGAUUUUAUUGGUUUCUCCCUUCUGACGAACCAUGAUGUCAUUAAUUUGGUGUCGUGGAGAAUCAGGACUGUUACUUUGAAAAAAUUAGAGUGUUUAAAGCAAGCUAACGCUCGAAUACAUUAGCAUAGAAUAAUGAAAUAGGACGUUUGAUCCUAUUUUGUUGGUUUCUAGGAUCAACGUAAUGAUUAAUAGGGAUAGUUGGGGGCAUUAGUAUUCAAUUGUCAAAGGCGAAAUUCUUGGAUUUAUUGAAGACUAACUACUGCAAAAGCAUUUGUUAAGGAUGUUUUAUUAAUCAAGAAUGAAAGUUAGGGAAUCGAAGACGAUCAGAUACCGUCGUAGUCUUAACCAUAAAUUAUGCCGACUAGGGAUCAGAUG